UGGACCCGCCCACCCUCCAGGCCUAGUAAGAUGGACCCGCCCACCCUCCAGGCCUAGUAAGAUGGACCCGUCCACCCUCCAGGCCAGAGGAGAAGACAAGGAUUGUGGGCAGAGGGCAAAGAAGGAUCUCCACGCAAGCCGUCAGCCUUCCAAUGUCUGCUCCACCCUCCCACCGCUGCAGAGAGGUUUGAGCUGCCCCGCCAUACCCACAGAGACCUUACAGGUUGGAUGCCAGCCUGGGCUACCUGACAUUCUGUUUUGACAAAUAGUAAGAAACCUUGGAGGUUGGGUGUGACCCCAUGCUUGGUCCAGCUGGCCAGGAGCACCAUGGCGGCCAGGAAUCGCAGGGCUUCCUCUCCCUCCCUGGCCUCUCCAGAGAUCUCAAGGAGCCACAGGUGCCAGCCUGAGUGAGCCUGAGGGAGCCAGAUGGCAGCCUCCCCUCUUUGUGUCUCCGUGGCUAACACUCUUCCUGAUAACCGACUGGGCACUUCCCAGGUGCAGCUGGUGCCUGUUCUUGGAAAAAGGAGAUUAGGGUCCCAUGUUUGAACCAUAGAGGGGAGGUAACCAGAGGUCACAGACAGUUAUGGUCAUAAAACUAGUUCCUGAUAGCCCCAUAAAGAUAAUCCUUAGGUCUGAAGAAUCCCCUCUCAGCCUUGCAAUUCUGCCUUACUAAACGGUAUCAUAUUUAAAUUAUGACUUGCCUCACCCGCCUCUCCCCAUCACCCUGAGCAUUCCAAGAAUCUCUUAACUAUGCUGUGUCUAAGUGCCAAGCCUUCCAAGCCUGUGGUUGCGCUAUUGUCCUGCGCUGUGGGGAGCUUUGCAAUCCGAGCCUGACUCGAAAAUAAAAAGACUCUUAUGCCUGA